rnacentral:rRNA from 1 species
AUCAUUACAGAGUUCAUGCCCGAAAGGGUAGACCUCCCACCCUUGUGUAUUAUUACUUUGUUGCUUUGGCGAGCUGCUCUUCGGGGCCUUGUAUGCUCGCCAGAGAAUAUCAAAACUCUUUUUAUUAAUGUCGUCUGAGUACUAUAUAAUAGUUAAACUUUCAACAACGGAUCUCUUGGUUCUGGCAUCGAUGAAGAACGCAGCGAAAUGCGAUAAGUAAUGUGAAUUGCAGAAUUCAGUGAAUCAUCGAAUCUUUGAACGCACAUUGCGCCCCUUGGUAUUCCGGGGGGCAUGCCUGUUCGAGCGUCAUUUCAACCCUCAAGCUCAGCUUGGUAUUGAGUCCAUGUCAGUAAUGGCAGGCUCUAAAUCAGUGGCGGCGCCGCUGGGUCCUGAACGUAGUAAUAUCUCUCGUUACAGGUUCUCGGUGUGCUUCUGCCAAACCCAAAUUUUCUAUGGUUGACCUCGGAUCAGGUAGGGAUACCCGCUGAACUUAAGCAUAUCAAAAAGCCGGAGGAAA